rnacentral:rRNA from 1 species
UACUAGAGUAGCACUCGCAUAUCAAUAAGCGGAGGAAAAGAAACUAACAAGGAUUCCCCUAGUAACGGCGAGUGAAGCGGGAAGAGCUCAAAUUUGAAAUCUUAAAGGGUUUCCCUUUACGAAUUGUAGUUUAAAGAAGUGUUUUCUGUUGAGGUUUUGGUAAAAGUUCUUUGGAAUAGGACAUCAUAGAGGGUGAGAAUCCCGUAUUUGACCUUUACUUUCAACUUUGUGAUACACUUUCAAAGAGUCGGACUGUUUGGGAAUGCAGUCCAAAAUGGGUGGUAAAUUUCAUCUAAAGCUAAAUAUUGGCGAGAGACCGAUAGCGAACAAGUACCGUGAGGGAAAGAUGAAAAGAACUUUGAAAAGAGAGUUAAACAGUACGUGAAAUUGUCAAAAGGGAAGCGUUUGACACCAGUGUUGUUUUUCUGAAAAUCAAUUAAAGAACUGUUUAUGCUAAGUUGUUUAGACUUCAUCAGCUAUACUGCUUAGUUUUGAGCUUUUCUUUAAUGCACUUUUCAGUUAACAAGUCAACAUCAAUUUCUUUUGCUGUAAAAAAGCUUGAGGAAGGUGGCUUGAGAUUCGUCUUAAGUGUUUAUAGCCUCUUGCCUAUGCAGUCGGAGAGAUUGAGGUCUGCAGCGUAGAUCCUUCGGGGCUAAAUGCAUUUGUGCUAAGUUAUAGCAUUUUAUAGACAACUUGUUGACUAUGAUUUGUCUUGUAGCUUACUCGCUUAUGUUAUUUUACCUACGCUUAGGAUGUUGAACUCUAUCACACACAG